AACGAACGCUGGCGGCAUGCCUAACACAUGCAAGUCGAACGAGAUCUUCGGGUCUAGUGGCGCACGGGUGCGUAACGCGUGGGAAUCUGCCCUUUGGUUCGGAAUAACAGUUGGAAACGACUGCUAAUACCGGAUGAUGACGAAAGUCCAAAGAUUUAUCGCCAGAGGAGGAGCCCGCGUAGGAUUAGCUAGUUGGUGUGGUAAAGGCGCACCAAGGCGACGAUCCUUAGCUGGUCUGAGAGGAUGAUCAGCCACACUGGGACUGAAACACGGCCCAGACCCCUACGGGAGGCAGCAGUGGGGAAUAUUGGACAAUGGGCGAAAGCCUGAUCCAGCAAUGCCGCGUGAGUGAUGAAGGCCUUAGGGUUGUAAAGCUCUUUUACCCGGGAUGAUAAUGACAGUACCGGGAGAAUAAGCUCCGGCUAACUCCGUGCCAGCCGCCGCUGUAA
rnacentral:rRNA from 1 species